rnacentral:lncRNA from 1 species
CUGAAGGUGCACCUUUGAAUAGUGAAGGGGGGUGAGUGUCAUCCAGUACAUCCACUAGGCGACGGGUAUGAUAAUGUAGUGCCAAAGGACUGGGUUGCUAUUUGCCAUUAUGGUUUUCAGUAUAGAUUGGCCUUGUUGCUCCAGGCUGAGUAGAGACUUAACAGCAACAUUUCCAUCUAGUGGUCGAGAGAGAAACGAGUACCCCAAGGCAGUCGUUCAAUCAGUGAGAAAUGGCAAACAAACUCUCCCUCAAAUAAUACCCUAUUGUUUGCAGUCAUAGAUGUAAAAAAAAAAAAUGGAAAAAAAAAAAAGGACAGUUACAGCUGGAAUACCUUCAUCAUGUGACUGGCUGAUUGACUCAUCUGGAACCAAGCAAUAACAACAGCCUGGAGAUGUGUAUGGUUCUUCCUAGAAAACAGUCUCUAUAUUCAUUAACAUGUACGAGUCGUGGAAAGGGUAUCGGAAUUUAUACACUUUAUAUAUAUCCAUCUUAAACAUGUGCAUUUGUUUGUGUAUAUCAAAUUCGAAAUAUUAAGAAAGAAAGAAAGAAAGAAAGAAAGAAAGAAAGAAAGAAAGAAAGAAAGAAAGAGAGAGAAAGAAAGAAAGAAAGAAAGAAAGAGAGAGAGAGAGAGAGAGAGAAAGAAAGAAAGAAAGAAAGAUAGAAAGAAAGAAAGAAAGAAAGAAAGAAAGAAAGAAAGAAAGAAAGAAAGGUAGGUCGUGGUAAAAAGCAGAAACGAGAAUUUGGAUUUUGUUAUUAACGAGUACUCGUGUGUGUAUAUAGAUACACACACAUGUAUCUAUCUAUCUAUUUAUCUAUCUGUCUGUUUGCCUGUCUAUCAGUCUGUCUGUCUGUCUCUGUCUCUUUGUUUGUCUGUCUGCCUGCUCUCUGUCUAUUGUGUGUUAUUUCUCGGUCACUAAUAUACUCCAAGUGAUAAUGCGUACCACACCCUAUACUUCAGCAAGAUAUAUUUUAGAAAGAGGUGGGGUUGCUUCUGAUGGUUUAUGAACACAUCAAAACAAUUUUUUUUUUUAUGAAAAACAUUUAAUUCAUGACGAAAAAGUUGUGCAUUAACAAAAUUUAAUACACCGCUGACAAACGCGCUCACUAUAGAAUGACAGCAAGGCUUGUUUACAUUGCAACUAACUGUGCAGACAUUUCAGAGAUAUUGCCAAAUGCCGAGUACCUAUGCACCUCACCGAUCAUAUACAGUGUGGUGGGUAGAUCAGUGGUCCACCCACCCACGAGUCCAUUGUAUCUGAGGGUGAGUGUGCGUGGGAAAGAAAAAGAAUCAACAAAACUAAAGAGAGUUUUCUCACCACUCUGCUUUAAAACUAAUCUUUAAUUUGAUAUACGUUUCUCUCUGUCGUGUUGCAUAUAGUUGAAAAGUGAGUGUUUGCUUUAUUGAUUAUUAAAUACACAGUCUAUAAAGCACUUUGUAGAAGGGGCGUGGCUUAAUGAUUUCGUGGUGAUAGUCUCCUGAUCGCACGGUCGUUGAUUCGAUUCUUCGACCAGGUAGCGUGUUCCAACCUUGGUGCUGCUCUCUAUAUCCACUCACGACUGCACGGGCAUAAUCCAAUACUGAAACACAUUUUGUUUUAAAGUGAUCUAAAUAAAAAACCUUCCAUCAAAAUUUCAUGUUAAUUUGUUUCCAACACCAGCUUAAUGUCAAAGUUUUUUUUCUACAUGAUUCGUCAUUAAUUUCAAAAUUAUAUGAAACGAAAUCAACGUAUUUAACUGAAGUAUAAUAACGAACACAAUACUAUUGAAUACAUUAUUAUAACCACUGUCGUUUACACCACACCCAUCGUUGCAUCAUUAAUUCAUUAUAUAUAUAGAUAUAUACAUAUAUAUAUACAUACAUACACACACACUCAUAUAUAUAUAUACAUAUAUACAUACAUAUAUAUAUAUAUAUAUACUCACACAUAUAUAUAUAUUGCAAACCAAAUCCAAAAACGAAAUAUAUAUAUAUAUAUAUAUAUAUAUAAUGUUUUGACUAUUAUUUUUCUUCGCACUGUUGCUCAUAACAUAUCUCUUCUAUAGUAGUUAAUAAUUUCUGCUGUUUUUUUUUUUUUUUCAGCCAUACACUGCUCUUCUUGCAUAGAACACCAGAGUUGUUGACUAACUUCCAGUUGUGACUACAAUGUUAAACCACCGAAGAUAACUGCUUGUUAAGUUUUAUGCACAUAUAUUUUAUCUUUGAAUUACAUUUUAUUACAUCUAUUUUUACAGGAAGAAAAGAAAGAAAAAAAUUAAAAGCAUAAAAGAUCAAAUUAUCGAUAAAAAAAAAAUCCAUAAUUACCUUGGUUGUCAAGCAGGGGGAAGGACAAACAUAAACACAAAGACACAAACAUACACCCCCCACACACACACACACAGCAGGCUUUUUUCAAUUUCCAUCUAUUGAAUCCACUUACAAGGAUUUGGUGGACACGAGGCUAUGGUAGACUAGCUUAAAAGCCUGUUGAGUUGCUUUUAAGCUAAUAUACAGCUUUAAGCAGCUGCCCCUGAAUAGGAAGAUCUGCGAACAGAUCUCUGACUUGUUAUGGAGAAUUUGUUGCAAUUCCUUCUUCCAGAGUCAUAUCCCAAUGAUGAUCGUAUUCAUUGCAAAAAAUCAUUUUAAAAAAUCGCCAAAAACAAUCGCAGUAAUGAAAACAUAGGAAUCCAAAAUUUCAGGAUUGCAGGUCCAGAUUCGGCCCAAAAUGUUUUUAAUUUGCUCAUAGAGUUAGCUUUUAUAUUAUAAAAAUUGUUAUCAUACAAAAAAAUUUGUCACAAAAAGUCAUGUACAAAAAUCACCAAAAACAAUCAUAGUAAUGAAAAAUUGGGAAUCCAAAAUUUCAGGAUUGUGGGUCCAGAUUCAUCCCGAAAUACUUUUGACUCCAAAAUGGUAUAUGUUGUGCUAGGAGUAAAGUUGAAAAAGUGUAACACACUGACAUUCACUGUAUUAUAUUAUACUAGCAGGAUAGCCCAGCAUUGCUCAGGUUUGUUUUUUAGUUGCACUUAAAAUGGCAGACUUUGAUGUCGUGUUAACAAAGUUUUGACAUAGUUUUAAUCUUUUUUGAAAAGUAAAAAUUUUGCAUUAUGUAACUUGUUAUUCUCUUUAAGUGAACAUUUUCCUGGUUGAAAUACACUGAAAAAUGGCAACACAGCAGUCAAAAAAUCGUAAAAAAUAGGGAUUUUCAUAGAAAAAAAGCACUUUUUCGAUGUAAAUAAUUUUUGGUCUUAAUAUGGUCCGAUUUGAAUUUUUUCUUCUAUGGAAUGAAGAGCAAGCCUUCUUCUAGUAUACUCUUAAUUUUGGUCAACUUGCACCACAGGGUCUCAGAGGAGAUAGUGCUAGUUGAAGGCUACCAAACCUGCCACACACACACACAGACAACUCAGCUUUAUAUGUAUAGAUUAUUAUAUUUUACUAAGGCAGCAAGCUGGCAGAAUCGUUAGUAAGCCAGACAAAUGUUUAGCGGUAUUUCAUCUGCUGUUAGUUUCUGAGUUCGAAUUCUGCCAAGAUCAACUUUGCCUUUCAUCUUUUCGGGGUCAAUAAAAUUAGUACCAGUUACAUACUGGACUCGAUGUAAUUGACUUGUGCUUCCAGUAGAAAGGACUUAUUAAAGUUGAAAAAGUGUGACAAACUGGCAUUGUUGAAUAUUUUCUUAAAUACUUUCUUGUAAACUGUUUUUAACAUUUUCUUAUUCAUCAUCAUCAUCAUCAUCAUUUAACGUCCGCUUUCCAUGCUAGCAUGGGUUGGAUGGUUCAGCUGGGGUCUGGGGAGCCCGAAGGCUACACCAGGCCAGUCAGAUCUGGCAGUGUUUCUACAGCUAGAUGCCCUUCCUAACGCCAACCACUCCGAGAGUGUAGUGGGUGAUUUUAUGUGCCACCGACACAGGUGCCAGACGAGGCUGGCGAACGGCCACGCUCGGAUGGUGUUUUUUUUGUGCCACCGACACAGGUGCCAGACGAGGCUGGCAGACGGUCACGCUCGGAUGGUGUUUUUAUGUGCCACCGACACAGGUGCCAGAUGAGGCUGGUGAACGGCCACGAUCGGAUGGUGUUUGUUACGUGCCCACAGCACGGAGGCCAGUCGAUGCGGUACUAGCUACAGCCACGUUCGGAUGGUUUUCUUGUGUGCCACCGGCACUGGUACCACAAAGAUACAAAUUCCAUUGAUGUUCAUCUAUUUUGGCUUGUUUUGAUUUGAUUUAAUUUUCACUUGCCUCAACAGGUCUUCACAAGUGUCACAAGAAGGAAGGUAUGCACAGGUGGACUGACUACGUCCCAGGUAGGGCCCACGGGUUAUGGCCUGACUAGUCUUGCCGGGUCUUCGGAUGGUGUUUUUAUGUGCCACCGACACAGGUGCCAGAUGAGGCUGGCGAACGGCCACGAUCGGAUGGUGUUUGUUAUGUGCCCACAGCACAGAGGCCAGUCGAUGCAGUACUGGCUACAGCCACGUUCGGAUGGUUUUCCUGUGUGCCACCAGCACUGGUACCACAAAGAUACAAAUUCCAUUGAUGUUCAUCUAUUUUGAUUUCUUUUGAUCAAAGAAUAUAUAUAUGUAUUCUAAUACUUUUGUGACAACAAGUACUUAACACAACAAAGCUUAUACAAAGCUUUUACAUUUUACUUUCGACAAUCUUUAUCUAAAAAAGUGAAACCAGUCAAGUGAAUAGACAUCUUUAAAAUUACAUUUUCAAACCUUCUUUCAUAUAUAUUUCCACUCAUGCAGUACCUUACAACUUCACUUUGUUAUAUAUAUAUAUAUUCAUAUAUUGUCAGUAAAUCAUAAAUUUAAAAGAAGUCACAUUCUAAGUUAUAGAGCAGUUGAAUACCUAGAGAAAGAUAAUUAUGGGUGGUUCAUAUAAGCUCUCUUCAAUAAAGAGAGUUUAUAGGACACUAACCUUUGGGGUUUGACAAGCUGUAUGUAAGCAAAGUGCUUUAUGGACGCAAAACUUUAGGUAAUGUAAUGAACCAGCCAUAACUAUCUUUCUCCCCUCUCUUUCUCUCUCUCUAUAUAUAUGUGUGUGUGUGUCUGUGCGUGUGUGUGUAUAUAUAUAUAUAUAUACAUACACGGAUAUACAUAUAUAUAUAUAUAUAUAUAUAUAUAUAUAUAUAUAGGUACAAAGUAAGUUAAGGGUUAUGGGUGUAACCCACUAAGGGAUAGUAUUUAUCCAAUAUACUGUUGGUAAAGAUGGUUAUAUAUAUAAGUACCCUAUUUUUAAAUGCCUACAACCUCAUUAUGUUGACAAUUAUAGGCAAUAAAAAUUUAAAUAACUACUUUUAGCCAUAGGCUGAAACAGCUGUAAGAAGUGAUUUUAAUGAUUUCAAUAAUUUAUAUUAUGAUUUUUAUAAUUUGUAUUCUUAUCUUAUAUGUAUUGAAUUAUAAGAUAUAUACGUAUGCUGUUAUGGUUCUCAUUUUGUUAAAUGAAUAAAUAAUCCAACAUUCUAAUAUAUGAAAGUUGAUGAACAAACUAAGUUUGUUUGUCCAUUUUCUUAUUUGUAUUAUAUAUAUAUAUAUAUAUAUAUAUAUAUAUAUAUAUAUAUAUAUAUAUAUAUAUAUAUAUAUAUAUAUAUAUAUAUAUAUAUAUAUAUAUAUAUAUAUAUAUACAUAUACGUAUAUAUUGUACAUGUGUGUAUAAAUAUGUAUGUAUACUGACACAUAUUAGUUGAAUUUUACAGAAUUAAUCCUAUAACAAUUCUAAAAGAAUUAUUCCAGAAACUGAGCCACAGUUAAUCAUCCUGGAAUAUUUUUAACUUUUCUUGGGGCACACAGGACGAGGAAGAAUAAAGACAGAUAAAAAUUUUUUUAGUUCACAUUGUUUUUAAUUUGGUAUGACACCCUUUUGACCUUGACGUGCAGAUAUUACCAGAUCAGCACUUUCUCACCUUAAGUUUUAACAAUAGACUGUUGCUUGACACUUAGAUACAUACAUACACACACAUAUGCAAUCACACACACACACUCACUCACAUACCACACAUACAUAUAGAUAAAUAUAUACAUACAUAUUACAAUGCUUCAAGUGGACUACAUCGGUCUGUUAUAUGUAUGUAUGUAUGUAUUUAUGUAUGUAUGUAUGCAACAGAGCAUUGUAGUUUGCUUAAAGUAUUGUGAUAUUAAAGGUAAAAAGUGAGAAAGUAGAAUGCACCUGACAAAGUGCAAAGUUUCAUAAAACCUUUUGUAUUCCUUUUAUAUUUAAGAAAACCUUUUAUAUAUCCAUAGGAUAUCAACUGGUAAAAUAUAUUUGUCUCAUACUUCCUGACUUUCUUUUUAUACUAAAUACAUACACGUAUACACACAUACAUACAUACAUACAUACAUAUAUAUAUAUAUAUAUAUAUAUAUAUAUAUACUCAAUAUAUAUAUAAUUAUCAAGUACUCACCCCGAAUUUCUAUACUCAAUAUAUAUAUAUACAUAUAUAUAUACUCACAUAUAUAUAUAUAUAUAUAUAUACACACACUCACGUACACACACUUGUACACACACAUGCACGCAUACACACACACACACACAUAUAAUUUAACAUGUAGGGUGUGGUUUGAUGAAGAUUUGGCUGCUAUUUUUAUAACAUCUUGAAAACAUGUUUGAUUAUAAGUCUACCAUCUGGGAAACAACAAAAAAACAGUCAGAAGCUGUGAACAUCAAACAAUAGCGUACAUGAUAACACAUCGAAACACACUUAUAUGAUAUUGUGUAUAUAUUUUGUGUGUGUGUCUGUGUUUGAUUACAAUAACUAACUAAAUACACAUAUGUGUAUAUUCUUUUAUUCUUUUAUUUGUUUCAGUCAUUUAACUGUGGCCAUGCUGGAAGUAAUUCUGUCAAACAAUUUCCUACCAGGACUUAUUUUUGAAGUCCUUGUACUUAUUCUAUCAGUUCCUUUGCCGAACUGCUAAGUUACGAGAACGUAAACAUACCUACACUAGCUGUCAAAUAAUGAUGGUGGGGGAGCACAAACAAAGACACAAAUACAUACACAAACACAUAACCAUAUAUCUUAUACAUAAAUGGCAAUUUCUGUCUGUCAAUCUGUCUGUUACUAUCUUGCUGCCCACACCAGUGAACCAAUCUUGACAAAACUUUACAUACAUGUUAAACUAACUUCUAGUUCAAUUAUAGGCUAACUGGAUUUCAAUAAAAACCUAUAAUGCAGCAGGGAUAUUAUUUUGAUAAAAUGAGAAGGGUGAAAGAGUGCUAGUGUGAGGGAAAUAUGGUAGCAUAGUAAGUGUGGCUAAUAUCAGGGCAGGGGAAAGCAGCAUUGUGUAAGCGACAAGUAUGGAGUGGCAGUGAGAUGAUAACAUUAAUACAGAUGUCAUUCAGGGAUAAACACACAACACUGCAUAUAUACUUUCGUAAAUACAUAGAUACAUGCAUGCACACACACACACACACACAAUGCACUAACACACACAUAUACACAUGCACAUAAGUAACUUUUAAAAUACCGAGGAAGGGAAAGAAAGGUGGGUGUGAGGAAUACAUAGUUUUAAGGAGAGAGGGAUUAAGUUGACAACAGUUGUCUACAGGUGACUUUUUUGCUGUCCAUCUCAAAGAAGCAUUCACACACAGACACAUACAUAUACAUAUACAUACGUACAUAAAUACAUACAUACAUGCAUACAUACUAUACACAAUUUUAAACUCAUCAUUACCUGUGUAUGUGUUUGUAAAUGUUUGUGUGUGUGUUUGUGUAUGUGUUUGCAUGCGUGUGUGUGUGUGUGAGAGAGAGAGAGAGAGAGACGUUCUAUAACUGUCUGUACUUUUGUAGAGUCUUCCCUGUUGCUGUCACAUAUUGUGAAAUUUCAAAAUUGCAUCAAAAUUUUCAAAUUUGAUAUACUGAAAUGAUUUUCCAUGUUAAAUCCAAUUUUGUUCAUUAUUUGUUCCAGAAAAAUUGCAAAGAAAUGUUACUGAGGUUUAAAGUUUAAUCAAUUUUAUCUAAUCAAAAAACAGGAUUUGGAAGCUGGCAUUUUCUGCGAUAGCUAUCACAAAAUGAAAGCAAAUUCAUUACGAGGAGGAAUUUUUAUUAAACAAACAAAAGCAAAGCAUUACGGUGACCAAAGUAGUAAGAACUUCUGAAGUUUUAGUAAGUUUUAAUGAAUAAAUUAUGUGAAACAGUUGAACAGACAUGCAAAUAAUUUUAAAAGAGAAAAAAUCCUCAAUGAAGUUUUUUUUUUUGCAAAAAAUUGCAAAUCUGUCCUGAUCAAGAAGCUUAUCUAUUGGGGGAAAAACAUGGUCUGACAUGGAAUAAACAUAACUUUAUAUAAGACAUUCUUUUGUAAAAAUUGCCCGGCAACAUGGACUAUUCAGCUAGCAUAUAUAUAUAUAUACAAACACACACACACACACACACACACACACACACAUAUAUAUAUAUAUAUAUAUAUAUAUACAUACUAAAAGUAAUUAAGUUUAUGUUCAGUCAUAGAGUGACAUAUACAUGUAUAUGUAUGAUGGGCUUCUUUCAGUUUCUGUCAAUCAAAUCCUUUCACAAGACUUUGGUCAACCCAAGGCUAUAGUAAAAGACACUUGUCCAAGGUGCCACGCAGUGAGACUGAACUUGGAAUAAUGUGGUUGGGAAGCAAGCUUCUUACCACAGAGUUACACCUGUGCCAGUAUGUACUUGUUAUAUUUUUCUAUAAAUCAAAGUCCCCUCUCCACUGGAGAUAAGGUUGGACAACUGUCAUGCUGAUGACAGUUAUUGAGCCAGAAACAAGUGUUCACUCUGCAACUGUCCUCUUGUCUCCGAACAAUAAACCUGUCCUUUUCUUUAAUGACCUCUCAUAUUUGGAGAAUUCUUGAUUCUUGAGAUUAUCUCCCCUUCUCAUAUGGAGCAGAUCUUAAUUGCUAUUUGGUGAUUGUGAUACAUCCCUUAGCAUUAGAUGUAGUUUUAAAAAAUCGAGAAUAUUCAAAUACACGGCACUAGCCACUUGGCAUUAUUUCUCUUAGUUCAUUUUUGUUUAAAUCAGGUGUGGCUGAGUGGUACGAAGUUUGUUUCCCAACCACAUGGUUCAAGGUUCAGUCCCGCUGUCUGGUACCUUGGGCAAGUGUUUUCUACUACAGGCUUAGGCUAACAAAAGUCUUGUGAGCAGAUUUGCUGGACAGAAAUUGAAAGGAACCCAUCGUGUGUGUGUGUGUGUGUUUGUGAGCAUGCACGUGCGUGUCUUUUUGUCUGUGUUUGUCCGCUACUAUCUCUUGACAACCAUUGUUGUUUGUUUGCAUCCUUGUAACUUAGCAGUUUGACAAAAAAACUCGAUAGAAUAAGUACCAGGCUUUGAAAUAAGUACUGGAGUUGAUCUCAACUAAAAUUCUCCAAGAUGGUGCUCCAGCAUGGCUACAGUCUAAUGACUGAAACUAGUAAAGGAUAAAAGAUAUAAACAUACAUACAAGGACAAAACAGAUGAAGAGAAGCAGAUAUGGAAAUGCAGACACAGACACAUUAACAUGUAACAUGUGUACAAGUGUGAGUUCAGUUUUUCUUUGUGAGUUUUGCUUCUCUUCUGUGAAUUAUUAGUAUCAGUUAGUGAUUGAGAAAACAGAUCAAUUAUUGCAGUACACUGCCCUUGAAUGUGAUUAUGAAUCUGUAUGCAUCUGUGUCUUUGUUUAAGCAUGUGUGUGUGUGUGUGUGCGCACGCACAUGUGUAUGUAUAUGAGAUGUAUGCACAGGUAAAUAUACAUAAACACUUGAAAGGUUAGUUUCAUCAAUUAGUUGAGAUGUGCUAUCAUUAAAGAUGCUGUUAAAGGCAAAAAUUACAUAUAUUUACUUCUGUACAUAUACUUUACAAAUGGAAGGUGGCCUGGAUGGAAAAAUAAUUAUUUCAAUAUAUGUACAUAUAUAUAUAUAUAUAUAUAUAUAUAUAUAUAUAUAUGGGUAUGGGUAAGUAUUUCAUUUAUGUCUUAUGUAUUUAUCGCUGAUGAGGGGAAAAUUCUUAUGAAUUAACUCUGAAAUUGGGACCGAUACGAUAAUGACGGAAUUUUUUAGAAAUUUCUGUCACCUUACUUCGAGACGCAUGUUUAUAGUGAUAAAUUAUGUGGUUAUUGACAAUUUGUCUAUUUUUGGCAUAUUUGGCAUUAGAAUUUUUUUCUUUUGCCCUUGUUUAUAUAUAUAUAUAGGCACAGGCAUGGCUGUAUGGUUCAGAAGUUUGCUUUGCAACUAUGGUUCUAGGUUCAGUCCCACAAGAAAACACCUUCCACAUGUGUCUUUAAUUGGCCCCAGGCCAAUAAAGGCCUUCUGGGUGAAUUUGGUAGAUGGAAAUUGUGUGUGCAUGUGUGUGUGUGCGCACGCGUAUGCAUGUGUGCGAGUGAGUGUGCAUGUGUGUGUACAUGCAUGUGUGUGUUUGUCUCCUACCACUACUUGACAGCCAGUGUUUGUUUGUUUACAUCCCUCUAAUUUGAUAUUUAGGCAAAAAGAGACUAAUAACCAAUAACUGGUGAGGGAUUGAGCAUUUCCACAUUUAUUGUGUUUUUCUUCCUGUUUUCCAUGCAUUCCUUUGUUGUCUUGUGCCACAUUUUAUAAUGCAUGCAUACAUAUAUAUGUAUGCCUGUAUAUGUAUGUAUGUGCAUUGUUCAUGUGUGUGUGUGUGUGUGUGUGCGCGCGCAGACAAUUCAUCAACAGACAAUUCACCAACAGACAAUUCCCACAGGGCCUCAGACUAAACACAGAGGCCUACAUCAAGUGCCUGGAGGAGAUAGUGCUGCCCUGGGUCAAGAGGGUGGCUACUGGAACACUCUCUGUCUGGCAACAGGACUCUCCACUAUACCAUGUCUGUAAGUUGUAUGUCGACAAUGGACUAAGGUAUCUGGUGAUAUGAAGUUUGAAGGAAGACCUGCCUACCUCAGUAAAACUGAUUUCUGAAAGUUCUGUGUAUUAUGUGCUCACCACUCACACAUUGCAUUAAUUCACUCUCACCCUCAAGACCAGUUGAAAGGUCUGUUUCUUGCAAGCUAUUUGGUGACCUCCCUGGUACAUAAAAAAGCAGCCAAAACAAUCUAUAAAGUGUUUGGCUUUAUGAAGGGCAUCUAGCUGUAGAAACCAUGCCAAAGCAGACAGUAGAGCUAGGUGCAGUCCUCUGGCUUGCCAACUCCUAUCAGACCAUCAGACCCAUUCCAGCAUGGAAAACAGACAUUAAACAAUGACGAUGAUGAUAAUGAUGAUGAUGGAGGUGGUGGUGAUGAUGAUGACAAUGAUAUAUUCACUCGUGAAUCUCAUUAUAAACAACAUGGACCCAUUUUCUUCUUAAGAAAAAAUAUAUUUUCAUAUAAAUUAAACAUUGUAUCAUGAAUAGCGAUUGCAAAACUGGUCGAUACAUUAAAAAUUAUACUAUAACCAUGUAAGGGUGCAUAUUUUCCGUUUUUAUUUUUCUUAUAUAUAUAUAUAUAUAUAUAUAUAUAUAUAUAUAUAUGUGUGUGUAUAUGUAUUUGUAUGUAUACACCAAAACACACACUCAUACAUGUAUGUGUGUGUGCAUGCAUCUUCCCAAAACACCUUCCACAAAAAUCUCGAAACAUUUGCAGAGAUGAAGGCAGUUAAUAAAGUUUGCAAAUGUGUUUCAUUCCUGUUUAGACCAAAUUAAGUCAAUAUAAUACUAAAUCUUGCUCAGAUCAGAGUGAGUGUUUUCCCUGAAAAGUCAUUUCAAAGUAUGUAAAGCUGAUUAUAUAGUCUGCUUAUAAAAACAGGAUUUCUUUCUUUCCUUUUAUAUAUAUAUAUAUAUAUUUUUUUUUUUUUAUAGAUUCUUAUCUUUAAAUAAAUUGUCUUGUCUUCAGUAAAACUUGUAGGGUCUCAAAUGCAAAAAGAAAAAGAAAAAAAAGAAACAAACAAACAAGAAAAAUUGAUAUGUAAAUACAAACAUACAGAAAACUGUUAGUGUGAAGCAGUACAGGUGACUGGAGUUAUCUUUCAACAGUGACGUCAAUAUAAAUAGAAACUAUAUAGAGUAUAUCAUCAUCAUCCACAUCAUCAUCAUCAUCAUCAUCAUCACCAUUCACCAUCAUCGUCAUCAUCAUCGUUGUCAUCAUCAUUGUCAUCACCGCCACCAUCAUCAUCAUCAUCUUCAUCAUCAUCAUCACUAUGACUAUCAUCGUCAUCAUCAUUGUCAUCACUGCCACCACCAUUGAUGUCAUCACAAUCACCACCACCACCACCACCAUUGUCAUCAUCGUUGUCUUCAUUGUCGUCAUCAUCAUCAUCAUCCUCAUCAUCACUGCCAUCAUCACCACCACUAUUACCACCACCACCAUGACCAGCACAACCACCACCAUCACUGUCUUCCUCUUCCCCUUCUUCCUCCAUCUCAUUACCCUCAUCAUCAUCAUUAUCAUCACUACCACCACCAUCACCACCACCACCAACCCUACCCUCUAUCCUUGACCCUCACCACUAUCAGUUUAAAGUUCUAAUUCAUGCUGAACUGAAUUUGAUUUCUUUGCAAAUAAAGCAUUUUUCAGUUACAUUGCCUACAAUAGGCAGAGCAAUGCUUCAGAAUUGCUAGAUCAUCAGAUGCAAUUUCCCUGCAAGAUGGUGAUGAUGACAACAAUUAUGAUAUGAUAAUGGCAAUGAUGAUGAUGAUGACAACAAUAAUUAUGAUGACAAGGAUAACAAUUGAGGAUGAUGAUGAUGAUGAUGAUGAUGAUGAUGAUGGCAAUGGCUUUGAUUAUUGUGAUUAUAGCAAUGACAAUGAUGAUAAUACUGCUGCUGCUGCUUCUGAGGAUGAUGAUGAUGAUGAUGAUGAUGAUGAUGAUGAUGAUGACGAUGACAAUAAUGAUAACAAUUACAAUGAUGGGGAGGGGAUUUGUGGUUUGAGUGUGUGUGUGUGUGUGUGUGUGUGUGUGUGUGUGUGUGUGUGUGUGUGUGUGUGUGCAUGUGUGUGGUGUGGUGUGGUGUGGCGUGGUGACAGUGGUGGUGACAAUGAUAUCAGGUAGUAAACUAUAACAAUGCUCUUUCAUUUUAACAGGAAUAAAAACGGUAUAAUACUGUUGAUAUUGAUAUACCUUGACUGGUUUCUGCUACAGGACUGUGACCAAGCUGGAGCACCAUCCUCAAGGGCUUUAGCCGAUUAUAUCAACCCUAGUCUUCAUUUCAGUCCAAUACUUAUUUCAUCAAGACGUAUUUGUCAAACUGCAAGGUAACACAUUGUAAAGGGUUGCAACAAAACCAUCAUUGGUUGUUAUUAACUAGCAUGCAAGCUUACACACAUGUAUAUUUACAAACACAUGCACAUGUAUGCAUACACACAGAAACUCAUACAGAAUGCUUGUUUCUCAACCAUAUGGUUUUAGAUUCAGUUCCACAGCACCGCACCUUCACCAAGUGUCUCUUACAAUAGCCCAGGUUGACCAAAGCCUUGCGAGCGGAUUUGAUGGAUGGAAACUGAAUGAAGCCACAUGAAAAGCACUCAGUCCACUCUGCUGGGUGUUGGUGUUAGCAAAGGCAUCUAGCUAUAAAAACCAUGCCAAAGCAGACACAGAAGUCAGGUGUGUGUGUGUGUGUGUGUGUGUGUGUGUGUGUGCACACGCGUGUGUGUGUGUGUGUAUGUGUGCGUGUGUGUGUGUGUGUGUAUGGGUUUUCGUUCCCCACUACCACUUAACAGCCAGUGCUAUUUGCUUACAUCCCCAUAACUUAGCAGUUUGGCAAAAGAGGUAGAAUAAGUAGAAGGCUUAGAAUAAAAAGAUAAGUACUGGAGUUGAUUUGUUCAACUAAACCCUUCAAGGCAAUGCCACAGUCUAAUGACUAAAACAAGUAAAAGAUAUAUUGUCCAAUAUGUAUCACUUUUGAUAAGACAAUAUAGAGCAAUUUGAGGAAUAUUUAACUAAAAUUCCUUGCAAAUUAGGCAACUGCAUAGAGGUUCCUUUAUUACUUUGUAUAUUUACAUCUUCAAAACAUCACUAUUCUAGCUGUCUCACACUUCACUGCAUUAUAUUUCUACUUGGUUUUAAUCAGUUAAAACUUCAAGAUUGUCUCCCCUAGAAUUCUUUAUCAGAAUUAGUCAUUUAGAUAAUGAUUAGUUCUCAUCACUAAAAAUGUAAUUUUAAUUAACACAAAUUUCUUGGCUUGUUGCAUCACAUAUACUCAUGCCCACUUUACUAAAACAUUUAUAACUUUCAUUCCAAAGCUAUUUGUUUAAGACGUAAAUAUAUAUGUGUGUGUAUGUGUAUGAAUGAGUAUAUAUGUAUAUACAUAUAUGUAUGUAUGUAUGUAUGUAUGUAGGUAUGUAUAUAUGUAUGUAAGUGUGUACAUAUAUGUAUGUAUGUAUGUAUGUAUGUAUGUAUGUAUGUAUGUAUGUAUGUAUGUAUGUAUGCGUGUACAUAUAUGUAUGUAUGUUUGUUUGUAUGUAUGCAUGAAUGUACGUAUUCAUGUAUGUAUAUAUUAUCCUGUUGUUGUAGAAUGAAAUUCAGGGGGUAUAUCCCAAGUUUACUGUAAAAUGCCAAAGGUAAUUGAAAAACUGGUUUCGUAAUCAAUAUUCCUUAUCAGUUCGUUAACGCACUUAAUUAAUCUUGCCAUUCAGUUGAUUAAAUAACAGCUUAUAAUUACAUAAGUGUGUUGUUUAGUUCACACAAAGUUAAACUAAUUUUUAUGUUGGCAAGACCAUGAUGAAUCCUCCAUGUGGUUGCUUGAAUUACUAGAAAUAGCAAACAAAUGACCCUUAAAUCACAAUCUGUAUUUCUAAAGAAAAGACAUAUUAGAUAAUGCAGUCCUUGAUACACCUAAAUAGAUAGGAAAAUUAUGGCUGGAAUGCUCGUUUUUUUUUGUUUUUUUUUAAUGGGUUUGUCAGAUUGAAGGACAAUUCCAAUUACUAUUUAUUUUCAGGGCCUUUUUGUCCCUCUGGUGGAAGGAAGUUAUCCUCCAACCAGAGACAUGAGGUGAAUUCUUACAAAAUCCCUUUUGAAGUAAACCCUUAUGCCUUUAAACAGAAGACGGCAGAGGACAACAACGAUGACAAUGAUGAGGAGGAGGAGUGUUAUGGUCCUGGUUGAAUUGUCUUUGAUCAUAGGUCUACUCAAUCAGAAUUGACUUUGUAAUAAACAACAGCAGCAACAACAACAACAACAACCAAGAGCCAACAAAGAAGCUCCAACUUGAUUCACCCACUUUAGUAUAAAAAACAGUCAAGUCAACCAUCUUAGAAAGGAGUGGAUUGCCAAAGGUUUGGCCAAUGGUAGUCAAACCAGGCAAUGAACUAGGUCUACUACCCAAGACCAGAAACAGCUCUUCUUGCAGGCUUCUUCUUAGUUUCCUUCUUACAAAUUUCGCUCAUAUAACUUUGUUCAACCAAGUACCAGGGUUAAAAAAAAACAUUAUCUGAAGUGACAUACGGUGGAUCUGAACCUAAAACUUCAAGCUUCUUAGCCACAUAACCAUGCCGGAUCCUUGUUCUACUUCAUGAAGCUUCAUCUUGGUCAAAAUUUAUCAAACAGCAGUGACAAUAACAGCAACAUCGAUUUUUAUAUUGGUAGUGAAAGUACAUGAAGAAAUGUGGACUAAUAUUUAGUUUGUUGCAUUUAUGAUUACAAGAUUGGUGUUUUGAUUCCUGAACUGUGAGGUGUGGCGUGUUCUUGCGCAAAACACUUCAUUUCAUGUUGCUCCAGUCCAUGCAGCUGGCAAAUAUGGGUAAUCCUGCAAUGAACUGGUGUCCCAUCCAGGGGGAAGUGUUGUGAUCUCAGUCAUUUAUAUGUGCCAUGGAAACUGGGUUACCAGCCCUGAGUCCUAGGACUCAGGACACUAAUGUCAAGGGGGUUGAUGAUGAUGAUGAUGAUGAUGAUGAUGAUGAUGAAGAUGAUGAUAAUAAUGACAACGCUGACAACACCAAUGAUGAUGAUAACAACAACAAUGAUGAUAUAAACAACAAUGACAAUGAUGAUGAUGAUGACAAUGACACUGACAACAACAAUAACAAUUAUGAUGGUGAUGAUGAUGAUGAUGAUAAUGAUGAUGACAAUGAUAACAGCAAUUAUGUUGAUGACAAUGACAACAAUGAUGACAAUGAUGAUGACAAUGACGACAACAAUUAUGAUGAUGAUGAUGAUGAUGAUGACGAUGACGAUGACAAUUAUGAUGAUGAUGAUGAUAAUGAUGAUGACAAUGAUGCAGUAUUGGCCAAAAUGCCAUUGGUCAUAGAUCUAUUCACACCAGGACUGAUUUGAAAUUAAACAACAACUAAUUUUUGCAAAGGAAGAAGUUCAGUUUGUUGAACAGAUUCUCUAUAAUACCGUUGUACUUAUUUUAUUCCCACAACGGAAAAGGAAAGAUGGUGAUUACCUUGAUGUGAUUUUCAUCAUUACUGAAAGGGUCAAAAAGUAAAUUCUGCUUUAAUUCUAUUAGUCUUGUAUUCAGUUUCAGAUAUUCUUCAAGUUUUAUUAUACACUUUUCAUUAGUGUUCAUCCAAUACACCAUCUCCUCUGUGUUUCAUUUCCAGGUAUCUUAUUUAACACUUUCUGGUCAAAGUUGCAAGCCUUCUGGAAUUCUCUUUCUACCCAUAUUGUUCAAGUUUAACUUAUAUUAAUCCACCCCAAUCAUAACCACCACUGUUUCCUAUUGAUUUUAUGCUGUACUCUCAUGAUAAUAAUAUUUAUUGCAAUUUUGUUGUUUUUGCAUUCAACAACUUGUCAGGAAAUUAAAAGUUAUUCUGAGAUAUAACAACAAGAAUGAAUUAUAAAUAAUUGUUCCUAUUAUUAGAAAAAACAGGCCUCUUCCAAUCUUGUUGGUAAAAUAAAGCAAUACUAAUUAGACAGUGUGUGGUUUCUGUGAAUACAAAUUUGAGAAAUUUCUUUGGAAUUUACAAGAUUAGUUCACAUUAAAUAUACAUAAAGGAGUUUGUAAAAAUGUACACACAUUAGUCAAAUAAUUUGUUUUAGAAAAAGUGCUAUAGAAAAUGAACAUUUUAUAUUUUACAAAGUCAAUUGGAUGCGUGUAGAAAAUGUUCAUGGCAAUAGAAUAAUUUCUGUUGUAGAAUAAUUUUUUUUUGCUAAAAGGCCAUCACUAAAUAGAGAAAAAAAAUCAGAUAUAUGUACAUAUAUUAAUCUUGUAGAAAUCAAUCUAUCUAGGCUUGACCAAAGUUAACAAGAGCCAAAACAAAUAGCAGCUAUACUUCUGUUUAGAUAACCAUAAGUUAACUCAACAGAAUACUAACUGCUGAUUGGUUUCAAAAAAUCACAUGACAACGAUGAAGCAAAUAUAUUAACCAUAGAAAGAAUCAUUAUAGUACUGACAGAAAUCUAGAGAAUGGUGCCAUCCUGGCAGACAGGUUUUGUAGAAGUGAAUGGUCUUGCAUAAAAUUCAGAUGAGUUAAAAUGAGCUAUGUAUGAUAGGCAUAAUCUCUCAUAUUUGUGUGUGUGUGUGUGUGUGUGUGUGUGUGUGUGUGUGUGUGUGUGUAAUAUAUAAUAUAUAUAUAUACAUAUAUAAUCUACAUAUAUAUAUAUAUAAUAUAAAAUUAUAUAUAUAUAUGUAUAUUAUAUAUAUGUAUAUUAUAUAUGUAUAUAUUAUUAUAUAUGUGUGUAUAUAUAUAAUAUUAUAUAUGAAUAUAUAUAUACAUAAGUAUAUUAUAUAUAUAUAUAUAUAUGUAUAUUAUAAUAUAUAUAUAGUUAUAUAUAUAUAUAAUAUUAUAUAGGUGUAUAUAUAUAUAAUAUUAUAUAUGAAUAUAUAUACAUAUGUAUAUUAUAUAUAUAUAUGUAUAUUAUAAUAUAUAUAUAUAUAUAUAUAUAUAUAUAUUUGUAGAUUAUAUAUAUGUAUAUUAUAAUAUAUAUAUAUAUUUGUAGAUUAUAUAUAUAUAUAUAUAUAUAUAUAUGUGUGUGUGUGUGUAUAUGUGUAUAUAUAUAUAUAUAUAUGUAAUUUAUAUAUGUAUAUGUAUAUUAUAUAUAAAUAUAGUAUAUUAUAUAUAUCAUAUAUAUAUAUAUGUAUAUUAUAUAUAUAUAUGUAUAUAUAUAUAAAUAUAGUAUAUUAUAUAUAUCAUAUAUAUAUAUAUAUAUAUGUAUAUUAUAUAUAUAUAUAUGUAUAUAUAUUAUAUAUAUAUAUGUGUAUAUUAUAUAUAUGUGUAUAUUAUAUAUAUAUAUAUAUAUAUAUAUAUUAUAUAUAUAUGUGUGUGUAUUAGCUAUAUAUAUAUGUAUAUAUAUGUAUAUUAUAUAUAUAUGUGUGUGUAUUAGUAUAUAUAUAUAUAUAUAUAUACAUAUAUAUACACACACACACACACACACACACACACACACACACACACACACACACACACACACAUACACACACACACACAUAUAUAUAUAUACAGAUCACGUAUGUGUACAUCUCUUCUCUAUAUUAUAAAUCUGAAAUGCGAAAAGUUUGUUUGUCUGGUUUUGGCAUUGAGAACGGGUUAAAGGCCACUAGAUCCUGUCGGAUUGACUCCAAACUUUACAGGGACAUGUAAAAUGAGGUGAGGAUGCGAGUGGGCUAGGUUAGAAAUCCCUAUCUAAAAGAUGUCGUUGCUAGGGCCAAAAAUGCACUUUGACAAGUCUACUCUCAUUCUUUUAUGUAUCUGUCUUCCUCUGUCACUCACUCUCUUUCUUCCCUUUCCAUCACUUUCUAUAUAUAACGUCGUUUAACAGCGUCUAACUCCCCUUCACUUUCUCUUUAUAAUGUCGUCAAACAGCGUUCUAUAUCUCCCCCUCCCCGCCUUCGACAGCGCUUUCACACUCUCUCUCUCUCUACGUUUGUCUGCAUUCAUAGAGAGAAUUAUUAUCGCCACCACACAAUCAUAAAAACAAAUAUUAUGAAUCAGAUAUUUAUUGGGUUAAUUUAUAUGUGUGUGUGUAUGUGUUCUAUAUUUAAAUAUGUAUAUAUAAUGUAUAUAUACAAAGUGUAUAUAUCUGUAUUUAUGUAUAUUGAACUUUUUAAUACGUUUUGAUAGUUAUAUAUAUAUUUUUUUUAAAUUAUAAAUAUAAAUUAAUAAUUUUAAUUUUAAAUUUAAAUAAUUUAAUUUUUUAAAUUUAUAUUUUAUAUAUUUUGUAUAUUAUAUUUUUAUUUUUAUGUUUUGGUUUAUGUUUUUCACUGUUUGAUUUGCCUAAUAGUGGUUUUAUCUCUAAUUUAAUUUAUAUAUAUAUAUCAUCAUCAAUUUUUAGCAACUAGUGCUUCUCUAUGAAUGAAACAAUGAGUAUGGAUAAUAUUUGGAUUUUGUUUUUGUGCGAUUGGGAAAAAGCAUUUAAGACAUCCUGUCAUUGCAGGGGCACCAUCUGUACAAAUGCCAACACAGUUUUUCCAGUUCAAUCCACAAUACUCUAAAUAUGAAUUUAAAACAUCAAAUACAUCUUGUCCUUUUCUUGUUUCAGGCAACUCUUUGCAACACAGGACGUCUUCUACAAUAGCUUCAUCAUUAAUAAAACGAACAAAUACAAGGAGCUGUGAUUUACCAGUGAUGUCUGUACUCUCAUCAACUUGAAGUGCAAACAACUUAUGUUUCAGUAUUUUUGACUUAAUAUUGCACUCAAUGUCUCCUGACAUGUCUUGAAUGCACCUACUUAUUAUGUUGUCAGAAAGUGGAAUUUUAUUUAGCUCUGAUACGGCAUCCUCUCCAAACAUUAUCCUCACUAUUUCCUGGCAUGCAGGUAAAAUUACAGUUUCAGCGAUGGUAUGAGAUUUCACUUUUCAUGCAACUAUAUCCACCACAGCAUAACUUACUUCUUGUCCUUUGUCCCUCAACUUGAACUUUUUGGCAAAUAUAGAAACGUGCCUUUUAUUAAAUGCCAAUUCUCUUUUAAAAUAUUGUUCAUUUUUGCCUGACAACUCUGGAUGUGUCAUUUCAGUUUGAAUGGUGCCAUAGCACUAUUAGCCAGCUUCUCCCCAGAAACAGUACACAAAGGUGAAGGGCAGUCUGGGUUUCCAGUCCAAGUAAAUCCCAGAGCUAUGUAGUUUUCACAAUAUUGACAAACUUUUAGUUGCAGGUUGAUUCCAUCAUUUCUUGGUAAUUUCAACGAGGCAGCAUCACUGGCAGUGGCUGCAGCUUCAACAGACUGCCUCAGACCCUGCCUCUCUUCAUCUGUAUCUAACUUACGUUUUUUCAGAAAUCUAUCCAUACUUGUAAGGCUGUAAGCAGAAUUGUAUAUACAUAUAAAAGCAAACCUAAUAGUGGCAGGACAAAAAUGAUCUUUAAAGUGUAGCGAGUUUAAUGAUGUAAAAUUUAGCUUUUUUUAUUAAUGUUUUUUAGUAAUA